UCCAGACUCCUACGGGAGGCAGCAGUGAGGAAUAUUGGUCAAUGGCCGUAAGGCUGAACCAGCCAAGUAGCGUGAGGGAAGACUGCCCUAUGGGUUGUAAACCUCUUUUAUGCGGGGAUAAAGGUGUCCACGUGUGGAUGUUUGCAGGUACCGCAUGAAUAAGGACCGGCUAAUUCCGUGCCAGCAGCCGCGGUAAUACGGAAGGUCCGGGCGUUAUCCGGAUUUAUUGGGUUUAAAGGGAGCGUAGGCCGGUUUUGAAGCGUGCGGGGAAAUUUUGGGGCUCAACCAUGGGAGUGCGCCGCGAACUGGAGACCUUGAGUGCGCGGAAGGCAGGCGGAAUUCGUGGUGUGGCGGUGAAAUGCUUAGAUACCACGAAGACCCCCGAUGGCGAGGGCAGCCCGCCGCAGCGUUACUGACGCUGAAGCUCGAAAGCGCGGGGAUCGAACAGGAUUAGAUACCCUGGUAUAC
rnacentral:rRNA from 1 species